UUAACUCCCAAACCCCUGUGAACAUACCUAUACGUUGCCUCGGCGGAUCAGCCCGCGCCCCGUAAAACGGGACGGCCCGCCCGAGGACCCUAAACUCUGUUUUUAGUGGAACUUCUGAGUAAAACAAACAAAUAAAUCAAAACUUUCAACAACGGAUCUCUUGGUUCUGGCAUCGAUGAAGAACGCAGCAAAAUGCGAUAAGUAAUGUGAAUUGCAGAAUUCAGUGAAUCAUCGAAUCUUUGAACGCACAUUGCGCCCGCCAGUAUUCUGGCGGGCAUGCCUGUUCGAGCGUCAUUUCAACCCUCAAGCUCAGCUUGGUGUUGGGACUCGCGGUAACCCGCGUUCCCCAAAUCGAUUGGCGGUCACGUCGAGCUUCCAUAGCGUAGUAAUCAUACACCUCGUUACUGGUAAUCGUCGCGGCCACGCCGUAAAACCCCAACUUCUGAAUGUUGACCUCGGAUCAGGUAGGAAUACCCGCUGAACUUAAGCAUUCUAGAACGGGGAAGAAAAG
rnacentral:rRNA from 1 species